rnacentral:misc_RNA from 1 species
GAAUGUCCUGAUGAGCAAAAACUCUAGCCAUAAUGAUAUCAUUAUAGCGAGAAAGAACACGAGCAACAUCACGAGUUUCUUCCCGCUUACCCAUCUGUAUAUCAUUUGGUCCCAAAUAGAUUGCAUGUCCUCCAAGCAAGUAAAAACCUGUCUCAAAAGAAACACGUGUCCUCAUGGAAGGCUUAGCAAAAAUCAUCGCCAUAGUUUUACCCUUGAAUGGGAGAUAUGUCCUCUCUCCUGAUUUCAGUAACUCUUUCACCUCUCUGGCUCGAUCCAAGAUGUUCAAAAUAGUGGCUUUAUCGAAAUCAUUAAUGUGUAGAAAGUCCUUUUGAUUGGCAGUUCCUUUUGCAAUAACUGAGGAAGAAGGAGCUGCAGCUGAAGAGGUGGUUUGGCAUGAGAUGCGUUGACGUAUCGCCGGAAAUGUGACCGGAGAAGGUGAGAUUACACCAGAAAAUUGGGACGAUUGCUUGCCGGAGUGGGAGAGUGUGUAAACGGAGGAGAAGGAGAGGUUUUCCGGUGAACAGAGAGAAGAUAACUGAGAGAAAAUGGCGGCCAUUGUUUUGGUUGUUUGGAUGGCGAGUGUUGAAG